rnacentral:snRNA from 2 species
AUACCUUUCUCGGCCUUUUGGCUAAGAUCAAGUGUAGUAUCUGUUCUUAUCAGUUUAAUAUCUGAUAUGUGGACCAUGUGUCCACAACGAUAUUAAAUUUAUUUUUCGUGGGGGUGGGCCCAUCACAGUAGCAUGCGUCGUCUGGGCGUUGCACUGCUGCCCUGGCCCGGCGCACCCCAA